GACGAACGCUGGCGGCGUGCCUAAUACAUGCAAGUAGAACGCACAGUUUAUACCGUAGCUUGCUACACCAUAGACUGUGAGUUGCGAACGGGUGAGUAACGCGUAGGUAACCUACCUGGUAGCGGGGGAUAACUAUUGGAAACGAUAGCUAAUACAGCAUAAUAUUAAUUAUUGCAUGAUAAUUAAUUGAAAGGUGCAAUUGCAACACUACCAGAUGGACCUGCGUUGUAUUAGCUAGUAGGUGAGGUAACGGCUCACCUAGGCGACGAUACAUAGCCGACCUGAGAGGGUGAUCGGCCACACUGGGACUGAGACACGGCCCAGACUCCUACGGGAGGCAGCAGUAGGGAAUCUUCGGCAAUGGACGAAAGUCUGACCGAGCAACGCCGCGUGAGUGAAGAAGGUUUUCGGAUCGUAAAGCUCUGUUGUAAGAGAAGAACGGGUGUGAGAGUGGAAAGUUCACACUGUGACGGUAUCUUACCAGAAAGGGACGGCUAACUACGUG
rnacentral:rRNA from 1 species